AGCAGCCGCGGUAAUUCCAGCUCCAAUAGCGUAUAUUAAAGUUGUUGCAGUUAAAAAGCUCGUAGUUGAAUUUCGGGGUUUAUCCGUUGGUCGGGCUUUUUGGUCUGUACUGGCGUGAUGGAUUCCUACCUUCUGAAUAACCGGCAUGCCAUUAAUUUGGUGCGCCGGGGAAGCAGGACUGUUACCUUGAAAAAAUUAGAGUGCUUAAAGCAGGCUUAUGCCUGAAUACAUUAGCAUGGAAUAAUGAAAUAGGACGGCAUGGUUCUAUUUUGUUGGUUUCUAGGAUCACCGUAAUGAUUAAUAGGGAUAGUUGGGGGCAUUAGUAUUCAAUUGUCAGAGGUGAAAUUCUUGGAUUUAUUGAAGACUAACUUCUGCGAAAGCAUUUGCCAAGGAUGUUUUCAUUAAUCAAGAACGAAAGUUAGGGGAUCGAAGACGAUCAGAUACCGUCGUAGUCUUAACCAUAAACUAUGCCGACUA
rnacentral:rRNA from 1 species